AAUCAACGCUGGCGGCGUGCCUCAGACAUGCAAGUCGAACGCGAAAGUCCCCUUCGGGGGACAAGUAGAGUGGCGCACGGGUGAGUAACACGUAGGUAAUCUACCUUCGGAUGGGGAAUAACAACCGGAAACGGUUGCUAAUACCGCAUAAUGCAGCGGCACCUAAUGGUGACAGUUGUUAAAGCGGGGGAUCGAAAGACCCGCGUCUGAAGAGGAGCCUGCGGCGGAUUAGCUAGUUGGAAGGUAAUGGCUUACCAAGGCGACGAUCCGUAGCCGGCCUGAGAGGGCGGUCGGCCACACUGACACUGACAUACGGGUCAGACUCCUACGGGAGGCAGCAGUCGGGAAUUUU
rnacentral:rRNA from 1 species